rnacentral:rRNA from 1 species
ACUAAGCGUACACGGUGGAUGCCCUGGCAGUCAGAGGCGAUGAAGGACGUGCUAAUCUGCGAUAAGCGUCGGUAAGGUGAUAUGAACCGUUAUAACCGGCGAUUUCCGAAUGGGGAAACCCAGUGUGAUUCGUCACACUAUCAUUAACUGAAUCCAUAGGUUAAUGAGGCGAACCGGGGGAACUGAAACAUCUAAGUACCCCGAGGAAAAGAAAUCAACCGAGAUUCCCCCAGUAGCGGCGAGCGAACGGGGAGCAGCCCAGAGCCUGAAUCAGUGUGUGUGUUAGUGGAAGCGUCUGGAAAGGCGUGCGAUACAGGGUGACAGC